rnacentral:rRNA from 1 species
UACGUAGGUGACAAGCGUUGUCCGGAUUUACUGGGCGUAAAGAGCGCGCAGGCGGUUUUGUAAGUCUGUCGUGAAAGCCCCGGGCUCAACCUGGGAAUUGCGAUGGAGACUGCAAGGCUUGAAUCUGGCAGAGGGGGGUAGAAUUCCACGUGUAGCAGUGAAAUGCGUAGAGAUGUGGAGGAACACCGAUGGCGAAGGCAGCCCCCUGGGUCAAGAUUGACGCUCAUGCACGAAAGCGUGGGGAGCAAACAGG